rnacentral:ribozyme from 1 species
UGCCCACCAAAUCCUAUCCCUACCUUCUCGUGGUACUGGCCGGAGUACGUGUAACCUUAGGGAAGAUCGGGUAACCAAACCCGGUGGGAACUUUGGUCGUAUGCUGACAGGGAAGA